GGGUUGUGAGGUUAAGCGACUAAGCGUACACGGUGGAUGCCCUGGCAGUCAGAGGCGAUGAAGGGCGUGCUAAUCUGCGAUAAGCGCCGGUAAGGUGAUAUGAACCGUUAUAACCGGCGAUACCCGAAUGGGGAAACCCAGUGUGACUCGUCACACUAUCAUUAACUGAAUCCAUAGGUUAAUGAGGCGAACCGGGGGAACUGAAACAUCUAAGUACCCCGAGGAAAAGAAAUCAACCGAGAUUCCCCCAGUAGCGGCGAGCGAA
rnacentral:rRNA from 2 species